rnacentral:rRNA from 1 species
GUACGUGUCUCUCAUUCCGUCUUCCGUUGUAUCCAAGCGCUUCAGCGGUUGCCUUCGGUUGAUUCCGUACAGCUUGAGGAUUUGGAUUGUUGUCGGUAUUUUUGCGUUAGUGCGCGUAAUCCUUUUAUCCCAGGAUGACCUCCUUUUGCGAAGGCUGCUCAUCUAUGUCUCGCCUGACGGUCACUUUCGAAAGCUGGGGCAGCGAACCGGAUUAGAUCCCCGGGUAGUCCCUUUCUGUAAUCGAUGCUAGCUAGGUGUUGGGUCGGCCUCGCGCCGCCCCAGUGCCGCA